GGGGCUGCGGAAGGAUCAUUA
rnacentral:rRNA from 1 species